UAAAGAAAGCGUAAUAGCUCACUGGUCGAGUCGGCCUGCGCGGAAGAUGUAACGGGGCUAAACCAUGCACCGAAGCUGCGGCAGCGAACGUAUCACCCAAGACAACUUUGCACAGUUGACGAUUGACGGAGCGAAGCGACGUCAAAGCGUUCAUUAAAGUCGAGUUGGCUUAGGGAUACGUUCGUUGGGUAGGGGAGCGUUCUGUAAGCCGUUGAAGGUGUGCUGUGAGGCAUGCUGGAGGUAUCAGAAGUGCGAAUGCUGACAUAAGUAACGAUAAAGCGGGUGAAAAGCCCGCUCGCCGGAAGACCAAGGGUUCCUGUCCAACGUUAAUCGGGGCAGGGUGAGUCGACCCCUAAGGCGAGGCCGAAAGGCGUAGUCGAUGGGAAACGGGUUAAUAUUCCCGUACUUGGUGUUACUGCGAAGGGGGGACGGAGAAGGCUAUGUUGGCCGGGCGACGGUUGUCCCGGUUUAAGCGUGUAGGCUGGUUUUCCAGGCAAAUCCGGAAAAUCAAGGCUGAGGCGUGACGACGAGGCACCACGGUGCUGAAGCAACAAAUGCCCUGCUUCCAGGAAAAGCCUCUAAGCAUCAGGUAACACGAAAUCGUACCCCAAACCGACACAGGUGGUCAGGUAGAGAAUACCAAGGCGCUUGAGAGAACUCGGGUGAAGGAACUAGGCAAAAUGGUGCCGUAACUUCGGGAGAAGGCACGCUGACACGUAGGUGAAGUGAUUUACUCAUGGAGCUGAAGUCAGUCGAAGAUACCAGCUGGCUGCAACUGUUUAUUAAAAACACAGCACUGUGCAAACACGAAAGUGGACGUAUACGGUGUGACGCCUGCCCGGUGCCGGAAGGUUAAUUGAUGGGGUUAUCCGUAAGGAGAAGCUCCUGAUCGAAGCCCCGGUAAACGGCGGCCGUAACUAUAACGGUCCUAAGGUAGCGAAAUUCCUUGUCGGGUAAGUUCCGACCUGCACGAAUGGCGUAAUGAUGGCCAGGCUGUCUCCACCCGAGACUCAGUGAAAUUGAACUCGCUGUGAAGAUGCAGUGUACCCGCGGCAAGACGGAAAGACCCCGUGAACCUUUACUAUAGCUUGACACUGAACAUUGAGCCUUGAUGUGUAGGAUAGGUGGGAGGCUUUGAAGCGUGGACGCCAGUCUGCGUGGAGCCAACCUUGAAAUACCACCCUUUAAUGUUUGAUGUUCUAACGUGGACCCGUUACCCGGGUUGCGGACAGUGUCUGGUGGGUAGUUUGACUGGGGCGGUCUCCUCCCAAAGAGUAACGGAGGAGCACGAAGGUUGGCUAAUCCUGGUCGGACAUCAGGAGGUUAGUGCAAUGGCAUAAGCCAGCUUGACUGCGAGCGUGACGGCGCGAGCAGGUGCGAAAGCAGGUCAUAGUGAUCCGGUGGUUCUGAAUGGAAGGGCCAUCGCUCAACGGAUAAAAGGUACUCCGGGGAUAACAGGCUGAUACCGCCCAAGAGUUCAUAUCGACGGCGGUGUUUGGCACCUCGAUGUCGGCUCAUCACAUCCUGGGGCUGAAGUAGGUCCCAAGGGUAUGGCUGUUCGCCAUUUAAAGUGGUACGCGAGCUGGGUUUAGAACGUCGUGAGACAGUUCGGUCCCUAUCUGCCGUGGGCGCUGGAGAACUGAGGGGGGCUGCUCCUAGUACGAGAGGACCGGAGUGGACGCAUCACUGGUGUUCGGGUUGUCAUGCCAAUGGCACUGCCCGGUAGCUAAAUGCGGAAGAGAUAAGUGCUGAAAGCAUCUAAGCACGAAACUUGCCCCGAGAUGAGUUCUCCCUGAGACUUAGAGUCUCCUGAAGGAACGUUGAAGACGACGACGUUGAUAGGCCGGGUGUGUAAGCGCAGCGAUGCGUUGAGCUAACCGGUACUAAUGAACCGUGAGGCUUAACCUU
rnacentral:rRNA from 1 species